rnacentral:rRNA from 1 species
GAUGAACGCUGGCGGCGUGCCUAAUACAUGCAAGUCGAGCGAACAGACGAGGAGCUUGCUCCUCUGACGUUAGCGGCGGACGGGUGAGUAACACGUGGAUAACCUACCUAUAAGACUGGGAUAACUUCGGGAAACCGGAGCUAAUACCGGAUAAUAUAUUGAACCGCAUGGUUCAAUAGUGAAAGACGGUUUUGCUGUCACUUAUAGAUGGAUCCGCGCCGCAUUAGCUAGUUGGUAAGGUAACGGCUUACCAAGGCAACGAUGCGUAGCCGACCUGAGAGGGUGAUCGGCCACACUGGAACUGAGACACGGUCCAGACUCUUACGGGAGGCGGCAGUAGGGAAUCUUCCGCAAUGGGCGAAAGCCUGACGGAGCAACGCCGCGUGAGUGAUGAAGGUCUUCGGAUCGUAAAACUCUGUUAUUAGGGAAGAACAAAUGUGUAAGUAACUAUGCACGUCUUGACGGUACCUAAUCAGAAAGCCACGGCUAACUACGUG